CGGGUGCACUGAUCCAGCCGGGCCUUUCCCUCUGUGGAACCCCAUGGCCUUCACUGGCUGUGGUGGGGAAACAGGACUUUUACUUUGAAAAAAUUAGAGUGCUCCAGGCAGGCCUAUGCUCGAAUACAUUAGCAUGGAAUAAUAGAAUAGGACGUGUGGUUCUAUUUUGUUGGUUUCUAGGACCGCCGUAAUGAUUAAUAGGGACAGUCGGGGGCAUCAGUAUUCAAUUGUCAGAGGUGAAAUUCUUGGAUCUAUUGAAGACUAACUACUGCGAAAGCAUUUGCCAAGGAUGUUUUCAUUGAUAAGGAACGAAAGUUAGGGGAUCGAAGACGAUCAGAUACCGUCGUAGUCUUAACUAUAAACUAUGCCGACUAGGGAUCGGACGAUGUUAUUCUUUGACGCGUUCGCCCCCUUUCGAGAAAUCAAAGUGCUUGGGCUCCAGGGGGAGUAUGGUCGCAAGGCUGAAACUUAAAGAAAUUGACGGAAGGGCACCACCAGGGGUGGAACCUGCGGCUUAAUUUGACUCAACACGGGGAAACUCCCCAGGUCCAGACACAGUGAGGAUUGACAGAUUGAGAGCUCUUUCUUGAUUCUGUGGGUGGGUGGUGCAUGGCCGUUCUUAGUUGGUGGAGUGAUUUGUCUGCUUAAUUGCGAUAACGAACGAGCCCUUACCCUGCUAAAAACCCCGUACUGCUUUGGCAGUCCGCCGGCUUCUUAGAGGGACUAUCGG
rnacentral:rRNA from 1 species